AAAAAGCAGUAAUCUGCUGUCACUCAAAAACACAAUGUCCAAUCUCUCCCAAAGGUCGCAGGCGUGAUGAGACUCGAGCUCGGAAAUGUUUGUUAUGCCAUUUGUCAGUAAUGGUUAGAGCGCCACCUAGUGGGACGACUAUAAUAAUGGUUGAAUGAGAUGAAAUUUUAGCUGGUGGUUAAAUGCAUGAAUUCCAUCAAUGUGACAUCAGAUCGGAAGCGCUGGUUUUAGGUGUUGGGCUUGGCUCGACGCGCCGGGGUGCGAGGGCCCUCAUAUCGCUGCUUGCAGCUUUAAUUAUUAUUAUUAUUAUUAUUUCGGCAAAUGAAUCGGCCUUUUGAGGGCCUAAACAUGCUCGAAAACUCAUGAAAUUUUGCAGACUCGUCAGGUCUGGUGAAAAUUUACGUAUUUUAAUGUCCGUAGACAUGUCCAGGGAAAAUUGGCUCAGUAGCGCCACCUAGAAAAAUGAGAAACGCG
ensembl:lncRNA